rnacentral:rRNA from 1 species
UACGAGGGGGGCGAGCGUUGUUCGGAAUUAUUGGGCGUAAAGGGUGCGUAGGCGGUUUGGUAAGUCUGAUGUGAAAUCUAUGGGCUCAACUCAUAGUCUGCAUCGGAAACUGCCGGGCUUGAGUGUGGGAGAGGUGAGUGGAAUUCCGUGGUGUAGCGGUGAAAUGCGUAGAUAUCAGGAGGAACACCUGUGGCGAAAGCGGCUCACUGGACCAUAACUGACGCUGAUGCACGAAAGCUAGGGGAGCAAACAGG